ensembl:lncRNA
GUGGAUCACAGUGUAACAUAAUAUCAUGGGAUGACCAUAACAGAGGUGGAUCACAGUGUAACAUAAUAUCAUGGGAUGACCAUAACAGAGGUGGAUCACAGUGUAACAUAAUAUCAUGGGAUGACCAUAACAGAGGUGGAUCAUAAAUCAUCACAGUGUAAUAGACUAGUCUGUGACUUGUGGUUGUCUCACCUAGUUAUAUUAAGUGGAAUGCACUGACUGUAAGUCUCUCUGCAUAAGAGCGUCUGCUAAAUGACUAAAAUGUAAAAUGGCUUGUUAACAGAAGGAUCAUAUAGGAUAAUGUCUGUGUGUCAAAUGGCACCCUAUUCCCUAUAUAAUGCACUGCUUCUUUCGAACAGAGUCAAAUAAUGCAUGUAGGGAACAAGUUACCAUUUUGGACACAUCCCAUAUCUUCCACGCUUCUCAAAGGCCCAUUAGUAGAGGAUGGUAUGAAGGGAAUAACAUGGCAGCCAGCCACACAUCAGUGAUAAUGACCAUAAGUCCUGUGAUUUAUAGUCUUAUAGUGUGGAUGUGGCCGGAAGCAAAGACUGAUCUCUCCAAGGAACUACAGAUGUUAUGAAUUUGAAGCUUGACUUACAGUGUGUAUAAGACUGUUAGUUAAUCAUUGUUGAGCUUGCCGGUUGGUGUUGGUGAUGCUGACAAUAGCAGCAGCACUGCAUGAAGCCUGGAGCUGUGAGGUGAAGUCUCUGCGGUGCAAUGCGCAAGGCCAUCUGUUUUGUCUUGGCUGAAACUUGGCUUUUUGACAACAACAAAAAAUCUUGAAACAGGAACCACGUCUUGCGUGAUAAGUCGGUCACAGGAGACUGGAUUAAGAGGCUCCAACGGCUUUGUUGACAGUUUGGAAUAAAAACAUCGGGGGAUUCAUGCUUAAUGGUCCAGCAAUGGAAUUAUCAUGUGAUCAUUCGUCUUUCUAGUGAGGAUGAUCAGGCCACCCCUGAAAGUCAGAGUUCAUUCAACCCCUUCAAGUGAGUGUUUCUCUCUUACUCUGACUCAAAGAUAUUUCUA